rnacentral:rRNA from 1 species
GUACACUCCUGCGGGAGGCAGCAGUGGGGAAUUUUGGACAAUGGGGGCAACCCUGAUCCAGCAAUGCCGCGUGAGUGAAGAAGGCCUUCGGGUUGUAAAGCUCUUUUGUCAGGGAAGAAACGGUGGUGGCGAAUAACUACUACUAAUGACGGUACCUGAAGAAUAAGCACCGGCUAACUACGUGCCAGCAGCCGCGGUAAUACGUAGGGUGCAAGCGUUAAUCGGAAUUACUGGGCGUAAAGCGUGCGCAGGCGGUUGUGUAAGUCAGAUGUGAAAUCCCCGGGCUCAACCUGGGAAUUGCAUUUGAGACUGCACGGCUAGAGUGUGUCAGAGGGGGGUAGAAUUCCACGUGUAGCAGUGAAAUGCGUAGAUAUGUGGAGGAAUACCGAUGGCGAAGGCAGCCCCCUGGGAUAACACUGACGCUCAUGCACGAAAGCGUGGGGAGCAAACAGGAUUAGAAACCCCGGUAGUCCCAUG